rnacentral:rRNA from 1 species
AUUGAACGCUGGCGGCAUGCUUUACACAUGCAAGUCGAACGGUAACAGGGUGCUUGCACCGCUGACGAGUGGCGAACGGGUGAGUAAUGCGUCGGAACGUGCCGAGUAGUGGGGGAUAACGCAGCGAAAGUUGUUCUAAUACGGCAUACGUACUGAGGUAGAAAGUGGGGGACCUUCGGGCCUCACGCUAUUCGAGCGGCCGACGUCUGAUUAGCUAGUAGGUGAGGUAAAGGCUCACCUAGCCGACGAUCAGUAGCGGGUCUGAGAGGAUGAUCCGCCACACUGGGACUGAGACACGGCCCAGACUCCGACGGGAGGCAGCAGUGGGGAAUUUUGGACAAUGGGCGAAAGACUGCUCCAGCCAUGCCGCGUGUCUGAAGAAGGCCUUCGGGUUGUAAAGGACUUUUGUCAGGGAGGAAAUCCCUAGUGCUAAUAACACUGGGGGAUGACAGUACCUGAAGAAUAAGCACCGGCUAACUACGUGCCAGCAGCCGCGGUAA